GAGGAUAUAGCUCAGUGGUAGAGCACAUGCCUAGCAUGCGCAAGGUCCUGGGUUUAAUCCCUAGUGUCUUGA
rnacentral:tRNA from 1 species